CAUUGCACAGGCAAUAGUUGUUUCCUUUCCUUACAGAGUACAGUGACUAUGUGUAUGGACUAAAUUUAAAUUGCCAUGCUCUGGAGAGAGGGGGCUUCUCAGUGUCCUCUCUUUCUCUACAAAAUGGCUGACUAUAUCACC